CCUACGGGGGGCUGCAGUGGGGAAUAUUGCACAAUGGGCGCAAGCCUGAUGCAGCCAUGCCGCGUGUGUGAAGAAGGCCUUCGGGUUGUAAAGCACUUUCAGCGGGGAGGAAGGCGGUGAGGUUAAUAACCUCAUCGAUUGACGUUACCCGCAGAAGAAGCACCGGCUAACUCCGUGCCAGCAGCCGCGGUAAUACGGAGGGUGCAAGCGUUAAUCGGAAUUACUGGGCGUAAAGCGCACGCAGGCGGUCUGUCAAGUCGGAUGUGAAAUCCCCGGGCUCAACCUGGGAACUGCAUUCGAAACUGGCAGGCUAGGGUCUUGUAGAGGGGGGUAGAAUUCGAGGUGUAGCGGUGAAAUGCGUAGAGAUCUGGAGGAAUACCGGUGGCGAAGGCGGCCCCCUGGACAAAGACUGACGCUCAGGUGCGAAAGCGUGGGGAGCAAACAGGAUUAGAUACCCGUGUAGUC
rnacentral:rRNA from 1 species